CCAGUCCCCUCGCACGCCUCGCACUCCCAUGCCUCAACGAAAAAGAACCAGCGAAAAAACCUACGAAGAAAAAACAAUGAAAAAAAAGCAGGCGACUCGCACGCACGAGCGAGAGUGCCCUCGAGCGAGGCCUCCAGAUUUCGCCGCCGCUCUCGCACUUGCCGUCGCCGAUGCCUGCGCUACCUCGACGGAAGCCAUCGCAAAUCCAUCCCUUCGCCGCCGCCCUCGCGCUCGCAUCAAGGAUCGAGGACUCCAGAGUGCCCUAAAUCCCUGCGCUACCUCCGUUCGUCGCCGCCGAUCUCGUCGCUACGUCGCUCGCCACGGGCAGGGAUCGGCGUCUCGCCGGCGUGGAGCGUGGCAGGGGAGAGAAGGGUGGGUAAGAUCGGCGGGGCAGAGUUCAUCCGGAAGGACGGCGCGGUGGACGACAUGUACGGAUACCUCAACUACCUGUCCCUUGAGUAUGACUCGUCUCGGACACCAAUCCUGCUUGGCUGAUCUGCUAUGGCUGCGGUUCCUUGUGGCAGAGUUCUCUAUAUUCCAAUUAAUUUGAAAGCAGAUGAUAAACUCUGAUCUGCUUGUCCAUUUAUACUAUAUCCCAGAUCUCAUUUGUGCCUAGAAUAUGAGCUUCUUCACGGCAAUUUCAAAGUUACAUGUACCAUAGUAAGCCAAUCAAAAUCUGCACCAUGGUAUUUUCAAGGUCCAUGCUUCAAAUAUAAAUAAGAUUUUGUCCUUCUAUCUGAAACUUGAUCUUCUGCUUAUGUUUGCAUUUGCUAUCGAUGAUGUGAAUUUGAGCAAAUACCCCACAACGUUUUCACUGAGUUUGGAUAGCAUAUUUUAUGUAGGUUGGUGAGAAGCGAGGCCGACUCAUAUUUGAUGAAGAAUGAUGUGCAACCAGUAAGAAGAUUAGGACGGGUAUUCCAGUAAUCCCGUGGAUUAGUCUCUAUAGUUGUUAGCAGCCUAUAAAGCAGAGGGUAUUCCCAUUUAGAAUAUGUUCGUGUGCAUCCACGGCCCCACCCUCUCUGAAUUGGGGAAUUUCGACCUCCUCUGGCACGCAUGCACCCACGUACUGGAGCUCAUGAUGGAGCAGCACUAAGGCUGAUGCUGAGGGGACACAUAUGGACAGCGCCGCCUUGCGUCUCAGCAACUCUAUGGCUCGCACCUUGAUUCGUUCGCUGACCUCCUCUGGCGCGCAUGCACCCACGUACUAGAGCUUAUGAAUGAGCAGCACUAAGGCUGAUGCUGAGGGGACACAUAUGGACAGCGCUGCCUCGCGUCUCAGCAGCUCUAUGGCUCGCACCUUGAUUUGUUCGUUGCCACACGCCUCAACUGCUUGGCGACGCGCACGAUUGGUGGAGCCACCUGCCACAUGACUUCGCAGUUCGCGCCUAUUUUGGUUCUUAAGGUUCAUGGCCAUGAUUUUUUUUGGAAUGCAAAAUUUGGUGCGAGUUCAUAUGAAUCACACAAUGCUUCGCAUAAGUUGGUGCAGAUUUAAUCGGGAACUUUGGUAAUACAAAUCCCCCUCCAUUGCCUCUUUUCAUAGUCAGUCAUCGUUUCUAUUUCGAUUUUGGUAGCUAUGCCUAUCCUUGUUAUAGAUCAUAGGGUUGUCAUCUUCACAGAUCAUGAUAUAUAAGUGAUGCAAAAUGCAGAUGACCCACAAUCUAUCUGAAACUAUUUAUCUACAGUUGUGUUCUUUUUGGGGUAUCUGAACAUGUCCUAAAGAUUUUGAAGAAAUGGAUAGCCAAAACGGUGGUGUCUUUGGCCAGAUGAUUUGACCAUCAUCUAUGAUCUGGAAGAAGAACCUCUCACACAAACAUGUAUAUUUAUUUGUGAAUCCAAUCAUAACCAGAAUGUAUUUGACCUUUUACAUUUUCCGACAGAAAGUAUGAGCACCUAAAUUUCUUGGAAUUCAGUAGCUCAUGUCUUGGAUACAUAGCUCUGGAAGAUAAUUUGGGGAAGAGACUAGAAGUCAACAAAAUGUGUAUUGUGAUUCUGGUCUAAGAACAUUUUUUCUUGUAUAGCAUGUCUUGGAUGAGAAAGGUCGUGAGAACUUCAAUGAAUACUUCAGCACUGCCAACAGAUGCUGACAAAGAUGAAAAAACAUGAGGUUGCUGACAACAUUGAGUGUGACUUGCUUUUGGUGCUACUGCUGCUGAAGACAAGCUCCAGAAAAAGGUACUAGAAUGCAUUGAAAAGCUCCCACAAGCAGGAAUUAAGUUCUGUGUGCUGACUGUGACAAAAUGGAUAGCUAUCAAUAUUGGGUUCUUGAUUUUUUUUGAUCGAAUCACUGGAUGUUUCCCUGGUUGGUCUUAUGGUGAGGAUCAGAUAGUUCUCUUUGAUGAUGAUGGCACCAACACAGAAGAUGCAGCUUGCGGAUCCCACGGCAGGACUCGGAUGAUGACGAUGAACCUGACUACCUAUUGCAAUCUGAACACCUAAAGAAGUUCUUGUUCUACGGUGACAACGUCAGGCGCAAGGCGGUGGUGGAGACAUGCGCGGACGAGCACGUGCAGAAGCGAAUGGUGCUCCACGGCUGCUGCUGUGUCAUCGGGAUGAAUCCCAGGGCUCUCAAGUUGUCGAGGUAUUUCUGCCUAUGUUGUGUACAUCUUAGCAAUGUGUAUGUGUAGUCUCCAAGGGUAAGAACUAUAUUGCCCGGUCCAGUCACGUGGUGUGUAUUGGUGUUUGGAAUUCAGGCAUGUACUCAUUCAUACUGAAAUUGAACUCUGAAAGAACUGAUCAUGUUGUACGGUGUUGUCUCUAGGCCUACCAGUUCUGGCAGUUUUCAUGCAAGGAAAAUAACAGAGAAUUUCCUUGAAUUUGGUCAAAGUUUCAUUUGUUUUGUCAUAUGAAGAUGGCCUGACGCCUAAGAAGUCACAUGGGAGAUAAGGCUAUCCCUGGAUUUGAACUCUGUAGCCAAACAUUUAUAUUAAGUUCGGUGUAUUGAAAUAUUGGCUGCAAUUUUCAGUGCCGAGGGAUUGAGUUUCACUUUAACUUUUACUAACAGAUAUUAGGUGAGAGUGCGGAAGAAAUAAAGGUUGCAUAUGACAUGCACGAGAGGAAAUCAGAGAUGGCUCGGCGAUCCCAAGGCAACAUCGAUAUGCAGCAUAUAGCUAGGACGUCUGGGGUAGUAUCAGAAACGACCGCGUAAAGGGCCUAAACAGUAAGCAAAAAAUCUGCUUGUCAAACAAGCAUACAUAAUCAUGUUCUAUAUGAGUUUUUGGAUUAGUAACCUGUCAUGUGCAAUUAAGAAAAUAGCAGCAACAAUGGUAAAAAGAUUAAGAGAAAAUAUGUUUUUGCAAUUGGGACAAUCAUGUCAAAUACUGAGAAAAUCUGGUUGCGCAAUCGGGAUAUGAUCAGGUAAAAAAUAAUAUUAACAAUAUGUAGUGCUUAAUUUAUUUUUAUGUUUGGAGACCCUUGAAAAGAAUAGAAAAGAAAUGAUUAGAUGUUUCCAUGCUAGAUCUAUUUUAUUUGUUUCACUACUGCAACAGUAACAUGGAAUGAAUAGCAAAGAGUAUGAGGAAAUUUGAUUUACAGAAACCGGCAAAAAAAAUCUUGAAUUAGGGAAGUAAUAAUGCUUAAUUUAUUUUUAUAUUUGGAAACCCUUGAAAACAAUAGAAAAGAAAUGAUUAGAUGUUAACACCCUAGAUCCAUUUUAUUCGUUUCACUAUUGCAACAGUAACAUGGAAUGAGCAAGAAAGAGUAUGACGCUGCGUUUGGAUGUCUCCAUUGGUGCCCAGGAAAUGGAUUUGAGGGCUACCCCUUCGAAUUGGACUGAAAUGGCCAACCUCCCGCAAAACGUACCUGUUCGAGCCUGCUACCAGAAAAUAAAAGAGAGAAAGGAGCGAGAGGGCGACCUCGUGAUGACCUAGCAGGUAGCGGGCGGGUGGCCGCGGCGACCUAGCAGGUGGGUGGCGGCGGCGACCACCAUGGAGUCCGACGGCGUCAAGGAUGCCCUCCUCCCCGGUCCUUUCCCUCUUUCCCAACUCCUCUUCUCCGCCCCACCGAGCCACACCCCUCCAUGGAGGUCGGCGGCGGCCCAGGACCGGCGCGCCCCGCUCCCAUAUGCCACUCCGUGUCGUCCUUCCCGGCCACCAUGCCCCGCCCUCCUCGGCCACGCCCCACCAUCCUCUGCCCCUCUUCUGCUCCAUGACCGAAAGAGCUGCUGCUCCUCUUCUGCUCCAUGGCUGAAGGAGAUGCAUUGCUAGAAUAUUUGUUAUUUUACUGCUAUUUCAUUUAAUUAUAGUCGCAUGUGAUCAGAUUUCAUUUUUGAGUCAUCUAGAACAUGGUAUAAUUUUCAUGGUAAUAUAGCUAUGCAAUUCCAAAGUUUGUCAUCCAAACAUGAUUUGGUAUUGAAACCUCAAAGGCAUUUCAAGGAGCAAUUCAGUGGACAACCAAACAUGCGAUUUCAUAUUCGUGCCAUUUCAGUUUCCUCACUGGUUUGAAACCAGCAAAUUUGAUAAGUAAUAGAUUUUCUGUUGUAGGUUUGUUUUCCCUUUUGCGGAGUUGCAAUAGUAACAUGCAAUUGUAGGCUACUAGAUGGAACAAUCAUGAAAGAGUAGGAGCUAACUUUAUUUUGAAAAUAGGAAGGUUAGAUUUUGCAAUAGUAUAGCAUGCCAACAUAUUUUUCAUAAUAGGAAUGGUAGCAUUUUUCAUAACAGUAGUAAUUCCAGAUUUGUUAACUUGCGGAUCAAGUGGGUAGGCUUCUAAAAAGGCAGUUGACUAAAGAUGAGCAAAGGGUUGUGUACGCUUAGAAAGGAUGUCUUGGAGAGUGUUGAAUGAUGGAGGGACAAAGUAGGUGUCGGCUUUGGCUUGUGUUCCUCUUGAGACUGUGCAACCCAACUUGGAAAGAAGGCAAGAAGGUGGUGGCAUACAAGACAUCAAGAGCAAGAAACCGAUGAUUUGUGAAUGGAAGAGGAUCAGAUUUAGUUCCAAUGUCAGAAACCGAAGAUCUCUUACACAAUAGUUUUUGUGUAAGAGAAAUUACCGUCGACAACCAGAGUAUGAUCUUGAUAGCUUGAAACAAGGUAGACUAUCUCAUGACCUUGAUUUGUAUUAGAGUGUGUAUGUGUAUGUAUAAGUGUAAAACAUAUUCAUACUAUUUAUCACCUGUAGUCAUUGUUGUGCAUUACAUCUUUAAAUUGCCACCUUUAUUGUCUUCAUC